AAUUAUGUUAUGGUUACAGUACAUUUAUAUGGUAGACUGCAUUUCAGCUAUAAAAACACCACAAGAUUCCUAUCUUUUCAACUGCAGAAGCAAGAAGCAUCAACCCAGUUCAAGGGUUAAUUUCAGCCCAGCAGAAGCACCACAGAGGUGUGUGGCCUGACUUAUGCCCCAAGGGCCAAACAGAGGGCCUCAUUAGGCCCCUGGGCCUGAGAUCCCCCCACUCCUGGAUUGCAGCAACCAUGGACGCAUAAGGUAAAAAUGGAACUGAGCUCCAUGCCUGAUACAAAGUUAUAUUACCCUAAAAAUAAUGGCUUGCGCUCUCAGAGUUGAUAAAACACAACCUGCAAUAUGCUCAUUUGAAUUAGGGCUGUUUCAGUAGCUGACAAAAGAAAUCCAAGCCUCAUAAAACGAAGCUAAGAUAGAACAACCCCUUCCUGGACUACCUCAUAAAAAGCGAUAUUAUUCAUUAUCAGAAUUUAACAUUCAUGAUUCAACCAAAAUCUAAGUAAUGGGGAACCUGUUCUUCCUCCUCCUUUCAUCCGGUUGCGAGCUACAUUAAUCCUAAUUGAAAUCUACUUGGCAGUAGCAACGGAGAGACAGCCUGUGCUGGUCUUCUACUUACCACUGCCAGUCCAAACCACAGACGGCAGCAAUGAUGGAGUGAGCAGAGGCCAUUUGGUCGACAUAGCUGGAGUUUUGCACUAGCAAUGUGGCCCUUUGGUUGAAAAUGAUUCUGUCAUCACUGGCCUACUGGGUGCCUGCCUGUCUUCUUCAACACAUCCUGCUGACAAGCUACUUUGAAAAGCUUUUAAAUACAGUUUUUUAUGGGUUUUCACUACUUUAUUGUAAGCAGCCUGGGUGAAAAUUAGAAUGGAAAUUCUAUACGUAAUGGUGUUUGAAAGUAUGGCCAAAGAGUGGCCCAGCAGUGUUUCACAUAAAGAAGGACCAAAAUCACUAUACAAUACAAGAUGGUGACUGUGGCAGGGGAUGAGGUGUCCUGCCACACACAUUCCACUGGCCAGAGCCCACAAAAUCCACUGUAAGACUGAGUGACAAAAGACCAAGUGAUGUACACACGUGUGAAUUGGCCCUCCUCUUCUGAGUUUGCUUUUAGCACUGGGUUGCCAUAUGUUUGGAAUUUCCUGGACAUAGCCAGUAUUCUGCCCUCUUAAACAGUGUCCAGAGAUUUUGCAAAGAAUUGUAAAGCAGCCGUAUUCAGCUGCAGGUCACCUUCUGUUGUCCUUACAGAGUGGGGCAGUGCUUCCAGCGACGCCUCUAAGCAAUUGCUAGCAGCAGAUGCAUCUGCUUCCGACAGACCUGCCAAGGAAGUGUCUGGGAAGUGUCCCACGUGUGGUGCGUGUGUGCGUGUGUGUGUGUUGGUGAAGCUCAUCUCAGUGUUCCACUGAACUUGAGGGAACGAGCCCCUCUCCUCCUUAACUGCUUAAAUAGGAUUAGCUGGCUUCCUCCCCGAAUAAAUCUGCUUGCUUCUCAUCUUCAGCCAUGCGCACCGUGAAAACAACCCUGAUAAAUGAGAGGUUUUUAAGACACUUCCUACAAGAACUAUCAGCCAUACAUCAAAGUUAGGCACUUCCAAGAGCUCCAGUGCUCUGGCAAUCUGUCUGUGGGAUGCAAGAUGACGCUCCGAUGCCCUGAGCCGACGCUAUCUGGGAGCGUUGCUGGAGCAGCAAACUCAGCCCCUCAGGAGGCCUUGGAGAGGGCGGGGGAGGAAGAAGAGGUCUGCUAAUUCUGGCCUUCUCCAGAGAAACACUGAUGUGACAUGCUGGGCCUGGACAAGCCCCUGCAGUCAGAAGGUCAAUCCAUCAAUCUCAAGGACUUGCGUGACCCUACCCCCAUCCUAUGUUUUCCCUUCCAUGUAAAAGGAGGGCCUCACAGACUUUAAUGGUGUCCUCACAAUACCCCUGUGAGGUAUCAAGUGCUGUCUCUCUCUCUUUCCCCUUCCCACUCUCCAGAUGGAGAAUGUUGGAAGGCAAGAGAUUCUGGGCCUGGUUUCACUGAGCUGGUAAAACGCCUUCUGAGUUGUACCACUUCAGAGUGAAGGCAGGGAAAUGCACACAUCUCUUAUGCUGGUUUACUGCAAUGCACUCUCUUUUGGGCUGCCCUUGGGCCUGGUCCAGAUCCUCCAGCUAGUGCAUAAUGCAGCAGCUAGACUGCUGAUGAGGGCAGAUGGCUGAGGGCAUAUAGCGCCUUUGGCAAAACAUCUGCAUUGGCAGCUUGUAUGCUACCAAGCCAGGUUCAAGGCUCUUGUGUCAAUAUGCGAUAUGCACAGCCCUUAACAACUGAUAGGUUAAUUGUUGCCUGCUUUAUUGAUUUCAAGAAAGCAAAAUAGAACACCUUUGAGUAGACAUACGUAAGAGAAUCCAGUUACAAACAUGGAUGAUAUAAUACUUAGUACAGAGACAGAAUAGAUCGAAGCAGUGGAUUGUCUCAGAAAAUAAGUUACCAACUCUGUGUGAUUUUCAAGUGUUAGUAUAGCUCCUCCAAAGUGAGGCAUGGGUACUGGGUGGGCCUGAGAAUUCAGAGCCCUUAUUAAUACAGUAAAAAUAAGAUAAAAAUCACACUUCUUUGAACCAAUCUUUUUUUGCUUCACCUCCCACCACUUGUUUGUGUUGUGUUAGACAUUCAGUCAGGGCUAUAUCCCAGAAAUUAUUGACUCAUGCCUCUUUAGGUAGCAUUGUACACAACUUCCAUUGUUUAUUUGUUUUUCCUUCUUAACUUUAUUUUUCAGUUUCUUAAUAUAACAAAGAAUACCCAUAUGCUGCCAUUCCCGGAGGAACAUUUCAUGUAUACACAACAUAAAUAAUGCAGUCAAACAUAGAGGGCUUAUGCACACUUCCUUUGCUCUUUCCAUGCAUGGUCUGUACUUUAAAGCUCCAUGUUUGACCAUCCUUGUUUUUGCUCUGGAGCUUUCCCCACAAAAAAGCCCCUCUCUUUAAAGCUCAAACAAAGCAAACAGCAAUCUGUGGGAACCCUGAACUGAUGUUUGCUCCUACUGAGUGCUAAAGAGCAGGUUUUUGAAUGGAAAGCUCCCGGGCGAAAAGACCAUAGCUUGGACACAGAGCUUUUAAGCACAGACCUGUGGCAAAAAAGAGUGGGAGAAAAGCUAAGUAUGGACAAGCCCUAAGUUUGUAAAUGGUUUGGAAUUGAUUACAUCAGUUAGGUGUAUUCUGCUUAACAUGAUUGUCCCAUAGUGAGUCAUGGGUAGCUGGUGGUGAGAGGGCAACAUUGUCUUUUCCGCUAUACUAAAUAAACAUGCACCAUACAGUAUCAAAACUGUCUUUGGUCUUUGCAUUCCAUAUUCUAUCUGAUCAUACCUCUAGAGUUAAGUUGGUAGCUGUUUUCCAAUAUUGUAUUAUUAUAUUUCUAGCCACAGAUAUGAAAAAGAUUAGUAGCUCUUUAAACCAUAGAUUAUCACAGAUUUAAUAAAGCUAGUCUUGGACCAUCCUGCCAACAGUAAAAACAGGAGAAGAUCUUUAUGCUAACCAGUUGGAUUUAGGGGCCCGCUAGGGGCGCAUUGGAAGAUGGCUGACAAUACCAUCUCUCCGGCUCACACGAGGUAAUUAAGAGGCUGAUAUGGGAGUAUGCAGCCUCCCUUGUACCCCAAGGGAAUGGGGAACACUGCCUUGCUUGCUGUUGCCAUAAAUUACCCCUGGAUUCGAAAGAAGGGGGUGAGGGCACUAGGCACAAAGCCCUUGUGUGGGUCCGGCUCUCCCUGACGCUGGCUCUGAUUGCACAGCUAGUUGCAGCAGCUUAAAAUAAACAAUUAGAAAAGAAGCAAAUGCACAUACUUCGAGUGAAGAUCGGGAGUAAAGACUGCUAAUUAAAGGGAUCUCUGUGAAGUGGAGCGACCGGCUGGAUAAUAAAUCAAGAAGAAGACUCAUCAAAGGAUUCGUAUGUCGGAGCGAAACUGAAAACUGUCUUAUGUGAGUACCCAAUAACCCCCCCCCCCCGAGAAAGAAUCGUUGCAAUUACUGAUCACAAGCAGGAAAUUAAGAACUGUGUGGAAAUAAAUUACUAAUCAAAGAUAUGGCUUGUGGGAACAUCAGGAGAGGAAAGAAAGCUUUGUGACACAGUUAUAAAUAGAGACUUGUUACAGCAGACCUGCCCACAGGAGAACGAGGGGGAGGAGGACCAUGGUUGGUUAUUAUAUCGGAAUGUGAGAGAAUGUGAGUUUGACCUGGCAGGGCCCCCUGAGAAAAUUGAUGACAGACUGGCAGGCCUGUGGAAAUCAACGGACAGACUGUGGGAAUGUUUUGUACGGAGGAGUGGAAAUGGUGUCUGUCUUUUUUUGAUAUGGCUCUUGGAGAAGCAUAAAAUACCCACAGGGUAUAACAUGUUUUGUUUUCAACCCGCUUGUGGAGACUAUCAGAGAUCACAAAGAAAGGAAUACAUGAUAACAACAAGAAGAUGAGGAAAAUAACAAAGAGACUAUCUGGACAGAACUGUGUAAUUAAAGCAGCAGCAAGAGGGAUGUUUGGAUCCCUUUCGGAGCUCGAAGUAUGGGUACCCCCAACAAAAAUUUUAAAAAUUGGCUGUGUAAUUUGGAACUAAUGUGAUUUGGAAUUAAUGUGAUUUGAUUGGCCUGUU